CCUAUGCUAUUGCAUUAAGGUCAUAAACGCCGGAUCAACCCAAAUAUAAUAGGGAAUCGGGGCGCUGCCCGUCAGCCAGCCCGAACUGUACCCGCAACUGUGAGUAGUUAAAAGAAGCGCCUAGAUUCUAGAUUCUAGAUUCUAGAUUCUAGAUUCUAGAUUCUAAAGCCUAGCACCUUCUUUUCUACAAGUCAGGAGACCUGCCUAUUGCUGUUUUCGCUG
rnacentral:ncRNA from 2 species